rnacentral:rRNA from 1 species
GACGAACGCUGGCGGCGUGCCUAACACAUGCAAGUCGAGCGGAGAAUGCGGACAUGUUUACAUGGAAGUGUUCUUAGCGGCGGACGGGUGAGUAACACGUGGGUAACCUGCCUCAAAGUGGGGGAUAGCCUUCCGAAAGGAAGAUUAAUACCGCAUAAGCCUACAGUACCGCAUGGUACAGCAGGAAAAGGAGCAAUCCGCUUUGAGAUGGACCCGCGGCGCAUUAGCUAGUUGGUGAGGUAACGGCUCACCAAGGCCACGAUGCGUAGCCGACCUGAGACGGUGAUCGGCCACAUUGGAACUGAGACACGGUCCAGACUCCUACGGGAGGCAGCAGUGGGGAAUAUUGCACAAUGGGCGAAAGCCUGAUGCAGCAACGCCGCGUGAGUGAUGAAGGCC